AAAGCAGCCCCACCUAGAAAGAUGAGCCAGUGAUUUGGGAGACCAAGAGGCAGGAAACCAUCCCACCUUCUCCAACCCAUCACCACAUCUGUUGCUGGAAGACACCAAGUAAAUCCCAGGGUCUUAAUGAGGCACCAUCAGGCCAGCCCUGUGGAGUGAUGGGGACACAGCUGGGUUUCCCUGAGCCACUCUAUUGGGGUGGGAGCAGGGGGACAGAAGAUGGUGAUACUGGCUCCUCUCACCCCUAGGUCUCUGAAGGUCCAGAUAGCACUGAUGGCAAACUUUGGGUCCGCACACUCUGGAAAGAAGAGAGAAGUAAAGGCUCUAGGGGGCAGCAGCCACCAGCAAACACCACUGCCUGCAGGAGCCUGGGCUGACUGGUUGAGACUCACCGAAGAUCCCUUCUUCCUGGGCGGUGGCCUGCAGGAACUGGAACAGCUGGUCUGUGUAGCCCGACUCUGCAGAAGAGAGAAGACCUAGACCUGGCACCCAGCACAGACACAGCCUGCCUCGAGGACUGCAAGGGAACAAGGGCCUCACCAGUAUUGGGCAGCUGGCCCUGGUGGAGGAAGGUGGCAGCCUGUGCAAAGGCCUUGAGCAGCGGGCUGGGCAGGCAGCAGAGGAAAAGAAAGAAAUCUGGGCAGUGUGACUGUUGGCUGAGCUGGAGGGGACAGGCCAGGGUGAGUGCAGCUCCCCACCGCCUCCCUACCACCUCCCUCCAGGGGCAGCUUUUUGAAACACACCCUGGAGUACUGGCCCUCAGUCUCUUCGAAGUCAUCACUGUCACUAUCAGUAAAAUCCCCACUCGGUUUCCACAGCAGCUUUCUGCUCAAUCGCCGUUGCCCUGUGUCA
rnacentral:lncRNA from 1 species